rnacentral:rRNA from 1 species
GGGCCCGUUGGGGCCUGCUUACACAUGCAAGUCGAACGAUGAACCCUCACUUGUGGGGGGGAUUAGUGGCGAACGCGGUGAGUAACACGUGAGUAACCUGCCCUUAACUCUGGGAUAAGCCUGGGAAACUGGGUCUAAUACUGGAUAUUGACUUUACCUCGCAUGGGGUUUGGUUGAAAGCUUUUGUGGUUUUGGAUGGACUCGCGGCCUAUCAGCUUGUUGGUGAGGUAAUGGCUCACCAAGGCGACGACGGGUAGCCGGCCUGAGAGGGUGACCGGCCACACUGGGACUGAGACACGGCCCAGACUCCUACGGGAGGCAGCAGUGGGGAAUAUUGCACAAUGGGCGAAAGCCUGAUGCAGCGACGCCGCGUGAGGGAUGACGGCCUUCGGGUUGUAAACCUCUUUCAGUAGGGAACAAGGCUACACGUUGUGUGGUUGAGGGUACCUGCAGAAGAAGCGCCGGCUAACUACGUGCCAGCAGCCGCGGUAAUACGUAGGGCGCAAGCGUUAUCCGGAAUUAUUGGGCGUAAAGAGCUCGUAGGCGGUUUGUCGCGUCUGCCGUGAAAGUCCGGGGCUCAACCCCGGAUCUGCGGUGGGUACGGGCAGACUAGAGUGAUGUAGGGGAGACUGGAAUUCCUGGUGUAGCGGUGAAAUGCGCAGAUAUCAGGAGGAACACCGAUGGCGAAGGCAGGUCUCUGGGCAUUAACUGACGCUGAGGAGCGAAAGCAUGGGGAGCGAACAGGAUUAGAUACCCUGGUAGUCCAUGCCGUAAACGUUGGGCACUAGGUGUGGGGGACAUUCCACGUUUUCCGCGCCGUAGCUAACGCAUUAAGUGCCCCGCCUGGGGAGUACGGCCGCAAGGCUAAACUCAAAGGAAUUGACGGGGGCCCGCACAAGCGGCGGAGCAUGCGGAUUAAUUCGAUGCACGCGAAGAACCUUACCAAGGCUUGACAUAAACUGGAAACACUCAGAGAUGAGUGCCCCGCUUGCGGUCGGUUUACAGUGGUGCAUGGUUGUCGUCAGCCUCGUGUCGUGAGACUGUUGGGUUAAGUCCCGCAACGAGCGCAAUCCUUCGUUCUAUGUUGCAGCCAGCGUAUGGGUGGGGACUCAUAGGAAACUGCCCGGGGUCACUCGGAGUAUGCGAGGACGACGUCGAAUCAUCAUGUCCAUAUGUACUCUUGGUCCCUCACGCAUGUCUACAUAGCGGAUACAUGCGGGAUGGCGUAUACUCUGUUAAGACAUGA